CAUGGCUCAGGACGAACGCUGGCGGCGCGCCUAACACAUGCAUGUCGAACGAGAGAGAGGGAGCUUGCUUCCUUGAUCGAGUGGCGAACGGGUGAGUAACGCGUGAGGAACCUGCCUCAAAGAGGGGGACAACAGUUGGAAACGACUGCUAAUACCGCAUAAGCCCACGACCCGGCAUCGGGAAGAGGGAAAAGGAGCAAUCCGCUUUGAGAUGGCCUCGCGUCCGAUUAGCUAGUUGGUGAGGUAACGGCCCACCAAGGCGACGAUCGGUAGCCGGACUGAGAGGUUGAACGGCCACAUUGGGACUGAGACACGGCCCAGACUCCUACGGGAGGCAGCAGUGGGGAAUAUUGCACAAUGGGGGAAACCCUGAUGCAGCGACGCCGCGUGGAGGAAGAAGGUCUUCGGAUUGUAAACUCCUGUUGUUGAGGAAGAUAAUGACGGUACUCAACAAGGAAGUGACGGCUAACUACGUGCCAGCAGCCGCGGUAAAACGCAGGUCACAAGCGUUGUCCGGAAUUACUGGGUGUAAAGGGAGCGCAGGCGGGCGAUCAAGUUGGAAGUGAAAUCCAUGGGCUCAACCCAUGAACUGCUUUCAAAACUGGUCGUCUUGAGUAGUGCAGAGGUAGGCGGAAUUCCCGGUGUAGCGGUGGAAUGCGUAGAUAUCGGGAGGAACACCAGUGGCGAAGGCGGCCUACUGGGCACCAACUGACGCUGAGGCUCGAAAGUGUGGGUAGCAAACAGGAUUAGAUACCCUGGUAGUCCACACCGUA
rnacentral:rRNA from 1 species